rnacentral:rRNA from 1 species
UACGUAGGGUGCGAGCGUUAAUCGGAAUUACUGGGCGUAAAGUGUGCGCAGGCGGCCGAGCAAGUCGAGUGUGAAAGCCCCGGGCUUAACUUGGGAAUUGCGCUCGAAACUACUUGGCUGGAGUGUGGCAGAGGGGGGUGGAAUUCCACGUGUAGCAGUGAAAUGCGUAGAGAUGUGGAGGAACACCGAUGGCGAAGGCAGCCCCCUGGGUUAACACUGACGCUCAGGCACGAAAGCGUGGGGAGCAAACAGG